AGGAUGGAAAACUAGUGGAGACAGCUGGAACCAAAGAGGUGCUGACAAGGCCUUUGACUGGAAGAAUGGGACAAACAAUGAUGGCAAGGGAUGGAAAACUAGUGGAGGCAGUUGGAGCCAAAGAGGUGCUGAUGAGGGAAAUGGUAAUCAAGCUGGUGGUUGGGGCAAGGACACUAAUGCAGGUGGGGAACCCAGUGACUCAGGGGGUAAGGCACCAGG
rnacentral:misc_RNA from 1 species